UCGAGGAUCUUUGGCAAUGGGCGCAAGCCUGACCAAGCGACGCCGCGUGCGCGAUGAAGGCCUUGGUUGUAAGACGCUGUCGAGGGGAGGAAAGGCCCGCAAGGGUUUGACUAAUCCCUCGGAGGAAGCACGGGCUAAGUUCGUGCCAGCAGCCGCGGUAAGACGAACCGUGCAAACGUUGUUCGGAAUCACUGGGCUUAAAGGGCGCGUAGGCGGGUUCCCAAGUCGGUGGUGAAAUCUUUCAGCUCAACUGGAAAAGUGCCGCCGAUACUGGGAGGUCUUGAGGGAGGUAGGGGUCGAGGGAACUGGUGGUGGAGCGGUGAAAUGCGUAGAUAUCACUAGGAACGCCGGUGGCGAAAGCGCUCGACUGGACCUCUUCUGACGCUGAGGCGCGAAAGCCAGGGGAGCAAACGGGAUUAGAUACCCGGCAGUCCUGGCCCUAACGAUGGGUACCAGACUGUGGACUUGACAUGGGUUCACAGUCGAGGCAAAAGUGUUAAGUACCCCGCCUC
rnacentral:rRNA from 1 species